rnacentral:rRNA from 1 species
AUUGAACGCUGGCGGCAUGCCUUACACAUGCAAGUCGAACGGUAACGGGCCUUCGGGUGCCGACGAGUGGCGAACGGGUGAGUAAUACAUCGGAACGUGCCCGAUCGUGGGGGAUAACGAGGCGAAAGCUUUGCUAAUACCGCAUACGAUCUACGGAUGAAAGCAGGGGACCGCAAGGCCUUGCGCGGACGGAGCGGCCGAUGGCAGAUUAGGUAGUUGGUGGGAUAAAAGCUUACCAAGCCGACGAUCUGUAGCUGGUCUGAGAGGAAGAUCAGCCACACUGGGACUGAGACACGGCCCAGACUCCUACGGGAGGCAGCAGUGGGGAAUUUUGGACAAUGGGCGCAAGCCUGAUCCAGCCAUGCCGCGUGCAGGAUGAAGGCCUUCGGGUUGUAAACUGCUUUUGUACGGAACGAAAAGCCUUCUUUUAAUACAGGAGGGUCAUGACGGUACCGUAAGAAUAAGCACCGGCUAACUACGUG